GGCAAGAAAGGCAGCAUGCAAGGAAGAAAGAUUAAGAGCAUUCUGAUACCCAUAACCCAGACUGAUGCCAUUGAUGUCAGAAGAGAGUGCAUCAUCAAAGCCCUGUGUCUGUACCUGAAUGAAGAGCCUGAAAACCUUGUAAAAGAGUACAAGAACACUGAUGGUGAGGCUUGUGAAGCUGCAGUGAUGGAG